GACGAACGCUGGCGGCGUGCUUAACACAUGCAAGUCGAACGGUGAUGCUCCAGCUUGCUGGCGUGGAUCAGUGGCGAACGGGUGAGUAACACGUGAGCAACCUGCCCCAGACUCUGGAAUAAGCGCUGGAAACGGCGUCUAAUACUGGAUACGAAACUGGCCCGCAUGGGCAUGGUUGGAAAGUUUUUCGGUUUGGGAUGGGCUCGCGGCCUAUCAGCUUGUUGGUGAGGUAAUGGCUCACCAAGGCGACGACGGGUAGCCGGCCUGAGAGGGCGACCGGCCACACUGGGACUGAGACACGGCCCAGACUCCUACGGGAGGCAGCAGUGGGGAAUAUUGCACAAUGGGCGAAAGCCUGAUGCAGCGACGCCGCGUGAGGGAUGACGGCCUUCGGGUUGUAAACCUCUUUCAGCAGGGAAGAAGCGAAAGUGACGGUACCUGCAGAAGAAGCACCGGCUAACUACGUG
rnacentral:rRNA from 1 species